rnacentral:rRNA from 1 species
UACAGAGGUCUCAAGCGUUGUUCGGAUUCAUUGGGCGUAAAGGGUGCGUAGGCGGCUUGUUGCGUCGACCGUGAAAACCCGUGGCUCAACUGCGGGCUUGCGGUCGAUACGGGCGGGCUAGAGUUCGGUAGGGGAGACUGGAAUUCCUGGUGUAGCGGUGAAAUGCGCAGAUAUCAGGAGGAACACCGGUGGCGAAGGCGGGUCUCUGGGCCGAUACUGACGCUGAGGAGCGAAAGCGUGGGGAGCGAACAGG